rnacentral:rRNA from 1 species
CUUUCCCUCUGGCGGCAGGCCUAACACAUGCAAGUCGAGCGGAUGAAGGGAGCUUGCUCCUGGAUUCAGCGGCGGACGGGUGAGUAAUGCCUAGGAAUCUGCCUGGUAGUGGGGGAUAACGUCCGGAAACGGGCGCUAAUACCGCAUACGUCCUGAGGGAGAAAGUGGGGGAUCUUCGGACCUCACGCUAUCAGAUGAGCCUAGGUCGGAUUAGCUAGUUGGUGGGGUAAAGGCCUACCAAGGCGACGAUCCGUAACUGGUCUGAGAGGAUGAUCAGUCACACUGGAACUGAGACACGGUCCAGACUCCUACGGGAGGCAGCAGUGGGGAAUAUUGGGCAAUGGGCGAAAGCCUGAUCCAGCCAUGCCGCGUGUGUGAAGAAGGUCUUCGGAUUGUAAAGCACUUUAAGUUGGGAGGAAGGGCAGUAAGUUAAUACCUUGCUGUUUUGACGUUACCAACAGAAUAAGCACCGGCUAACUUCGUG